GCAUAUGGAGGUGCCCAGGCUAGGGGUCUAAUCAGAGCUACAGCUGCCCGCCUACACCACAGCCACAGCCACAGCGGGAUCUGAGCCUCGUCUGCGACCUACCCCACAGCUCACAGCAAGGCCGGAUCCUUAACCCACGGAGCGAGGCCAGGGAUCGACCCGCAACCUCAUGGUUCCUAGUGGGAUUCGCUUCCACUGUGCCAUGACGGGAACUCCACCCUUAUUUCCUGAAGCUCCUCCACUUACACUCAACCUGUGACUGACAGUGACGGUGAGUGACACUCAACCUGUCUCUGAGGCUGCCGCUGUGCUCCCUGGGAGGGUCACCUGGGCCUCAGCGGAGGGCUGAAGCUGGAGGGCGGGCGGGGCCCAGCUCCUCUCCCUCUCUCUCCCUCGGCCCUGUCCAAACACCACCACUUAUUUUCCUUCCUUCACAGAGGAACCGCGCUCGCUCUCUCCUUUGGGGCCCAGGUUUCUCCUCUGAUUUCUUUUUCCUGCUCUCUCGUGCCUCCCCGCCUGUUCUCUUAUUUAUAAGGAUAGGAUGCCAAGGGGACCACCCCAAAUAUGUCAGGUGCCUAGACAUUGUGCAGUUGUAACAGGGUGCUUCUGCGUCCCCCUGCCCUUAGAGAUCCCCCUCUCCGGCCCCCUUCUCUCACCUCAUCUGCCCUUAUUCUGUCUCCUCUUUAAUCCCCCCCCCCUCCUCACCUUCAUUUAAGCCUUCACAGGAAAGGAUGUUGGAGAAGGUGGAACAUCCUGCCUGGCUCACAAUAGGCUCUUGAAAAGCAUCAAUUAAGCCCACAUUGGAGUCUCCCCAUCUUAGUUCCUUCCCUACCUGUUCCCAGGCCCUGUAAUGAUCCCAUGUUCUCCUCUGUGUUGGCAGCCUUCUUCUGGAGUGGGGGGGGGCAGGGUCAAGGCCAUUGGAUGUUCACUCAGUGCCUCUUCCCCCCACCACCCGCCACCGAUGUGUGCUUUUUGUCAAGCGCUAUUUUUACAAUGUCUUCAUUACCUCCUAAUUGGCCAAAUCUCUUUUCUUUAUUUUUCUUGUUAAAGACAGAUUUAAAGAACGAGUUCAGCAGCUCAGCCGUUUUCAGACCAUCAUUAAUUUCCCGCCUUCUUAUUUAUUAAUGGGGCAACUUCCUUGCUGGUAUUUCUCGUUCCCUGGAUAUCUCUGUAAAAGCCUGCCUGGCUCAUGCAGCCCCUGGGACUGGUGCUAACUCACUCUGACUUUGUGCUGCCCUCAGCGGCUCUGGCAUUCGCGCUGCAGCCCCCCUGCCCUCCCAGCCCUCCUGGUCAAGGCCCCUCACCCGCGGCCUGCAGGGAGGAGCGGAGGGGACGCCCCUGCCUUCUUCCUGCGCAUGGAGAGGAGUGAGACGCCAGAUGGCUCCUCCAGCCCCUGUGUGGGAAGGUCAUGUUCAGGACAGGUCUUGAUACAGAGGGAGAAACCAGGACCAGCGGGAAGGCAGCAGCACAGUGGCCUGAGGAUUAGCGGGACGGUGGGCAGCAAACUGCGCUGGGGACCUGUCUCUUCCCUCUUUGUGCUCCACAUUCUCAUCCUACUUGUCCUGCAGUUAGCUAAAGGACUCGUGUUCUUACGGUGACAAUACGAACGUGCGGGAAGUCAUCUGGGGACUCUCCACACCGCCGAAGGGUGUUUCUGUGCACGUGGCUCCCUUUGAGGCCUUCUGAGUGUGUUCUGGGGGGAUGCCUUUUGAUUCUGGUUCUCCAGGAGCCUCCGACUUCUCCGACUUCUCUCCAGAGGAGGGGGUUGGUCCUGCUGCUGCCCAUAAGCCCUUGCCCUCACGUGGGCACAGGUCAGGUCCGUGAGCCAUGGGCUCUGUGGGCCAACUGCUACUCCCUAGAGCCCAGGCCCGGGUCUGAGCAUAUGCUGACUCCACGAGGCUCCUCCACCUUCUCAGAGCAAGGGGCACUUGUGGAACGGUCCUGUUAGGAUCCUCUUCCAUCUUCCCAUAACCAGGAACAUAGGCUCUGAGCCCAGACUCCAGGGGAGGCCCAGUUGUGCCUCCCCCUCCCCACCCCUGCCCGAAGCCUGUUGCUGCCUGCAAAUUCCGGGUGAGUGAUGAGGUGGCCAAUGAGGACAGUGAUCCCAAGUCAGGGUGUGGGCCUCACACAGACAGCCUCAAGGACCCCUGGGCUGCCAUCAAAUGCAAGUCAUGCUCUUCUCUCUGGAUGUGAAAGCUCUGAGCAGGCCCUUAAAAGGUUCCCGGGAAGUGGGGAGAGAGAGAACGCAGGGCAGAAUCAUCUUGCCUGACCUGGAGCCGCAGCUACCCUCCAGCAGCAGUAGCUGGGAGCAGCGGCAGUGCCCGGGAGGAGUCCCCUGGGGCCAAGCCCUGGAAGCCAUGUUUUUACACUAAAAGACCUUGUUUCUUGUCUCAUCCUGGUCAUAACCCUGCUUAAUAGAGACAUUAAGAUGAAUGAUUGGAGCUGCCUCUCUCCCUGCAGCCGGAAGGAGGGGCAGCCUGGGUGACCCUGGACAGAGCAGACACUGCAGGGAUGGACUGAGGUAGGAGGGAAUCUGCAAAGCGUCCCCUCCAACACGGAGUCUCAGCUUUGGGAGGCGAAAGCCUCCUGUCCUGUUAGUCUCCCCAAAUCUGCCUCAUCCAGCAGGGCUUCUGUGCACUGCUGGACUUGGGCUGUGUCCUGCCUCCCCAGCAUUAGGGACGGGGUGAUGCCAGCAGGAAGAGCUACUGUGGGCAGGGGGUGACAACAGGGACAGGGACAGGGACUAUCCCUCAGACAGGCUCUCUCCCUCCCUUCCUUCCUUCUUUCUUCACACAUAUGGAAAUUUCCAGGCUAGGGGUCCAAUCUGAGCUGCAGCUACUGGCCACAGCCACAGCCACAGCCCCAAGUCCUCAUGGAUACUAGUGGGGUUCGUUACCACCACAAGAACUCCCCUUAGCAUUUCAAAGGGCUUUGUAAGCUCUUGUACAUACAGGUUUCUGGAUUUAAAAAAAACGGUAGAUGGAGUUCCUGUUGUGGCUCAGCAGUAACAAACCCAACUAGCAUCCAUAAAGACUCAGGUUUGAUCCCUGGCCCUGCUCAGACCUGCAGAUACAGCUCCAAUUCAACCCCCAGCCUGGGAAGUCCCACGUACGGUGGGUGUGGCCAUAAAAAAACAAAAGCAAAAUGAACAAACAAAAAACUAUAACCAAGUUAUGGGUGCUUUCUGCUUGUUUUUAGGGGCUGUGGUUUAUAUGCAUUGUUCCACCUGACCCUCACGACGGCCUCAUGACACAGGAAGAAUUAUCAUCCCCAAUUUACAGACGAGAAGACUAAAGCUUAGGGAAGUUAAGCCACUUGCCCAGGGUGGCCCAGCUGAUAAGUAGUGGCAUUGGACUGUGAACCCAGGCAGUCUGACUUCAGAGCCUGAGCUUGUCACUCCUGUCAUCACACACUGCCUCCAAUUUUACAAACUGACAGAGCCUGGAACUGGGAGGAGGGUUGGGGAGGACUGAGGGUUUGUAUCAGAUGGGGAAUUGAUUUAGGGUCGGAGACAACCGUCAGGGAUAAACAGGCUCAUCGCUGGAGGGGGCUGCAGAGGAGGUGGGGCCCCAGGGAGCACUACUGAGACAGGCCUCAUUUACCAUGUUUAUGACAGGCCUGGCAGAGGGCAGCUCAGGGAAAACCACCCCUUCCUAGAUGCCGCUGAACACUCUUGGGCAGAAAAAUGCCUUGCUUUUUGUCUUCCUCCAGCCCCGUGCCCCCUGCACUUGAUCUUUGGCUAAGUGUGGAACACAUAUUUAAUGAAUAGCUUCUAAAAUAUAGAUGCUGGAGUUCCUGCUGUGAGUCAGUGGUAACAAACCCAGCUAGUGUCCAUGAGGUUGCAGGUUCGAUCCCUGGCCCUGCUCUGUGAGUUAAGGAUCCAAUGCUGCCGUGAGCUGUGGUAUAGGUUGCAGACGCAGCUCAGAUCUGAUGCUGCUGUGGCUGUGGCGUAGUUCGGCAGCUGUAGCU
rnacentral:lncRNA from 1 species